rnacentral:rRNA from 1 species
GACGAACGCUGGCGGCGUGCUUAACACAUGCCAGUCGAACGGCAAGGCCCUGCUUUUGUGGGGUGCUCGAGUGGCGAACGGGUGAGUAACACGUGAGUAACCUGCCCUUGACUUUGGGAUAACUUCAGGAAACUGGGGCUAAUACAAGAUAGGAGCUCCUGCUGCAUGGUGAGGGUUGGAACGUUUCGGCUGUUGGGGAUGGACGCGCGGCUUAUCAGCUUGUUGGUGGGGUAGUGGCUUACCAAGGCUUUGACGGGUAGCCGGCCUGGGAGGGUGACCGGCCACAUUGGGACUGCGAUACGGCCCAGACGCCUACGGGAGGCAGCAGGGGGGAAUAUUGCACAAUGGGCGGAAGCCUGAUGCAGCGACGCCGCGUGCGUGAUGACCGCCUUCGGGUUGUAAACCGCUUUCGCCUGUGACGAAGCGUGAGUGACGGUAAUGGGUAAAGAAGCACCGGCUAACUACGUG